rnacentral:rRNA from 1 species
GGGCCCGCACAAGCGGUGGAGUAUGUGGUUUAAUUCGAUGCAACGCGAAGAACCUUACCAGGGCUUGACAUCCUGCGAACCUCUGGGAAACCGGAGGGUGCCUUCGGGAACGCAGUGACAGGUGGUGCAUGGCUGUCGUCAGCUCGUGUCGUGAGAUGUUGGGUUAAGUCCCGCAACGAGCGCAACCCACGUCUUUAGUUGCCAGCAUUUAGUUGGGCACUCUAGAGAGACUGCCGGUGAUAAGCCGGAGGAAGGCGGGGAUGACGUCAAGUCCUCAUGGCCCUUAUGGGCUGGGCUACACACGUGCUACAAUGGCAGUGACAGAGGGACGCUACCUCGCGAGAGGAUGCAAAUCUCAAAAAGCUGUCUCAGUUCGGAUUGUUGUCUGCAACUCGACAACAUGAAGUCGGAAUCGCUAGUAAUCG